GGGAUGUGAUGAGUGGUUGGUUCUCGCAAUAUUUAUGCGAGAGGGGUGUCUGCCCCAGCCUGGUUACGACAAUUGGGCACUCCCAUUAUCACCAAUCUGAUCCC